rnacentral:rRNA from 1 species
AUUGAACGCUGGCGGCAGGCUUAACACAUGCAAGUCGAGCGGAGCGAGGGUGCUUGCACCUUAGCUUAGCGGCGGACGGGUGAGUAAUGCUUAGGAAUCUGCCUAUUAGUGGGGGACAACAUUCCGAAAGGAAUGCUAAUACCGCAUGCGUCCUACGGGAGAAAGCAGGGGAUCUUCGGACCUUGCGCUAAUAGAUGAGCCUAAGUCGGAUUAGCUAGUUGGUGGGGUAAAGGCCUACCAAGGCGACGAUCUGUAGCGGGUCUGAGAGGAUGCUCCGCCACACUGGGACUGAGACACGGCCCAGACUCCUACGGGAGGCAGCAGUGGGGAAUAUUGGACAAUGGGGGGAACCCUGAUCCAGCCAUGCCGCGUGUGUGAAGAAGGCCUUAUGGUUGUAAAGCACUUUAAGCGAGGAGGAGGCUACUUUAGUUAAUACCUAGAGAUAGUGGACGUUACUCGCAGGAUAAGCACCGGCUAACUCUGUGCCAGCCGCCGCCGUAAUAC